AAUCCUAGGUCCUCUGACUUUUUAUUUACAGACUGCCUUUGGAUCUGUUACCCAGGAGGAAGUGUAACUGAGAGAAGUGAAAUACAGAUCUAAGAGGAGACAGAGAGAUUCAGGGAGGAGCUAAGAUGUUCCUGAACUAUAGAAGAGAGAGGAACUUCCAUAUUCACCAGAGUUCAACACAGACCAUCAUCAUCAUCACCUUCAUUCAACAUGCUGUCAUUAGACUAUUAUUUACAUUCCCUACUGUUAGUUUCCAUUCUAAGAGGGGUCAGCUGUGAAGAUCUCACUGCAUUACAGAAAGAAGAGUUCAGACCAGAAGGCAGCACUGUUACUCUGUCCUACAGAUACUCCAAAACUAUAACGGCUAGUGAAGAUUUUUUCUGGUAUCGACAAUAUCCAGGAAAACAACCAGAGUUUCUUCUCUACAUCUCAGGAACAAGUUUUACAAGACUAGCAGAGUCUCUAAAAUCAGACACAACGUUCUCUUCUAAACUGUCUGAAGGAAAGCAACGAGUGGAUCUGAGCAUCUCCUCUGCUGCAGUGACAGACUCUGCUGUGUUCUACUGUGCUGUGAGGCCCACAGUGACAGGAAACACCAACACUCUGUACACAAACACCAGCUGACACACUGACAAGCUGCUGGAAGCCUUUUCUCCACACUGCUGUACUGAGCUGUUCACCUCCACUAGAGGGCCACAUU